GACUAGCUCUUUGUAAAGAUUUUUUACAAAAAUUAUGAGGGAGACUGUUUCUCAAUGUGAUUUGAGCUAAUUAAGCUGAUUGGAUUGAUUAGACUAGCAAUUUGCAUAUAUAUAUAUAUACAUAUAUAUAUAUAUAUAUAUGUAUCUGUUCCUUUAGUUUCGAAUAUGAGUUUGAAAUAUUGACGGUGGUUCAUUGUUUAACUGUAAACCUUGUUUAGAACUACUGGAUACUGUUCUGGAUACAAG
rnacentral:lncRNA from 1 species